AUGAAACACUCCUACGGGAGGCAGCAGUGGGGGAUAUUGCACAAUGGGCGGAAGCCUGAUGCAGCGACGUCGCGUGAGGGAUGGAGGCCUUCGGGUUGUGAACCUCUUUCGCCGGUGAAGAAGGUCCUGCUUUUUGGGUGGGGUUGACGGUAGCCGGGUUAUGAAGCGCCGGCUAACUACGUGCCAGCAGCCGCGGUAAUACGUAGGGCGCGAGCGUUGUCCGGAAUUAUUGGGCGUAAAGGGCUUGUAGGCGGCUGGUCGCGUCUGUCGUGAAAUCCUCUGGCUCAGCUGGGGGCGUGCGGUGGGUACGGGCUGGCUUGAGUGCGGUAGGGGAGGCUGGAACUCCUGGUGUAGCGGUGGAAUGCGCAGAUAUCAGGAGGAACACCGGUGGCGAAGGCGGGUCUCUGGGCCGUUACUGACGCUGAGGAGCGAAAGCGUGGGGAGCGAACAGGAUUAGAAACCCUUGUAGUCCGAAGUUC
rnacentral:rRNA from 1 species